UGACGGUACCUACAGAAAAAGCAACGGCUAACUACGUGCCAGCAGCCGCGGUAAUACGUAGGUUGCAAGCGUUGUCCGGAUUUACUGGGUGUAAAGGGCGUGUAGGCGGAGCUGCAAGUCAGAUGUGAAAUCCCGGGGCUUAACCCCGGAACUGCAUUUGAAACUGUAGCCCUUGAGUAUCGGAGAGGCAAGCGGAAUUCCUAGUGUAGCGGUGAAAUGCGUAGAUAUUAGGAGGAACACCAGUGGCGAAGGCGGCUUGCUGGACGACAACUGACGCUGAGGCGCGAAAGCGUGGGGAGCAAACAGGAUUAGAUACCCUG
rnacentral:rRNA from 1 species